rnacentral:rRNA from 1 species
GAUGAACGCUAGCGGCAGGCCUAAUACAUGCAAGUCGAACGGGUGGUCGCAAGACCACUAGUGGCGCACGGGUGCGUAACGCGUAACCAACCUGCCCCGAUCUGGGGGAUAGCCCGCCGAAAGGCGGAUUAAUACCGCAUAUACCCGCAGCCUGGCAUCAGGCAACGGGGAAAGAUUUAUUGGAUCGGGCUGGGGUUGCGUGACAUUAGCUAGUUGGCGUGGUAAGGGCCCACCAAGGCGACGAUGUCUAGGGGACCUGAGAGGGUGAUCCCCCACACUGGCACUGAGAUACGGGCCAGAAUCCUACGGGAGGCAGCAGUAGGGAAUAUUGGGCAAUGGGCGAGAGCCUGACCCAGCCAUGCCGCGUGACGGAUGAAGGCCUUCUGGGUUGUAAACGGCUUUUCUCAGGGAAGAAAAAGACCUGGCGAGGUACACUGACGGUACCUGAGGAAUAAGCACCGGCUAACUCCGUG